ensembl:lncRNA
AUACUAUCUCACAGAGCUGGUAGGGGUGGGUAAUAACAGGAAAGCACUAACCCAUAGCUUGGAGCAAGGCAGGUGCUGUGAGAAUAUAUUGUAACAGCCCCUCAGCCCUCCAGCGAAGCCCUUCAUCCUGGGUAACACAAGGCUUUGCUCGCCUCAGCCAGUCUGGUCUGCCUUGCGCGCUAGACUGUGAACUCCUCUUGGCAGAACCUCGUUCAAUUUUUAAUCACUGCCCAUUCCCCUCCCCAGUGUCUAGCCCGAGCUUGGGCGCAUAGGCUCGAUUUAAAUUUAACAAACAAACGAGUGAGGGUAUGAGUCGGACCCCCAAAUUCCGAGAGGCACAGAGCUUGACUGCCAUCAGCAAGGGCACGACCCUUUCCCCUGGGAUCCAGAAGGCGGAGGCGGCGGAGGCGGCGGCGGCGGCAGCAGCGAGGAAAGAGGCGCUGCAGCUUUAAGAUUUCUCUUGGGCGUCCCGGUUGCCAAGGCGCGGUUGCCAGGGGCCUGCGCAGGGCUGCGUCCGGCCUCCGCGCGCCGACUCCCGGCUUUCGUCUUCUUCGCCGCCACCGCCGCCGCUGCCGCCGCCGCCGCCGCCGGGCCGCGCAGGACUCGGCUCCUCCGAACCGUCUGGCGGACUUGGCACCGGCCCCGGCUCUUCAGUGCCCCCGCGUGGGGUUAAGACUUCCCUGACAGUAGUCGAUGGCUGAAUGGGAUAAUAUGUUGAUGGCCAGACCGUACUUAAAUUCUCUGGCAAGAAAGAGAAAAGGAGAUGAAGGAGUGGUUUCCCAUCCCUGCUGCUGUGUUGGGUGGAUACCUGCUCUCUCCUUGAAGGAGGUAAGUUUCCCUUGAACCCGUGUCUCUUACAUCCCCUGCAUUGGCAGGCAGGUUCUUUACCACUAGCAGCACCUCAUAUGCUUAAAUCCCUUUUUAAUUGCAAGAAUACCUGGAACAUGCCAACCAGAGCUACUUCCUUGUCAGGGUAGAGGGGCAAAACUUCUCUCCACCUCACUGGCAUGGCAUGGACUCUCUGAGUGGGGCCUCUUUUCUGCAAACCAUGACAGUCUCCCUCUAGUGCCUGGGCCCUGUCCUAUCCAAGGGCCCAAACUGGAAUAUCUCUUACACAAGAACUUGUACUCCAACCUUUAGCUUUCCUCAGCCCUAGGAAAGAGGAGGCUGGUGAAGGAUUGGAGGCCAGUUUUUCCAGACCUGUGGCAGUCUCGUUUGUGAACCUGACCUGAGCCACUCUAGCAAGGCAGUGUCUAUCUCUGGGGGUGUUUCCUUAUCGGUGAGUCCAUUAAUUUAUUCUUCCAGUUCAUAUGUCUUGGGUGACCACACUGCGGCACCCAGCAGGUGGGAGUGUGGGAGUAACACAGACUGGGUGGGAAGAGCUCUAUUCUGAAGCCACUGAUCUGGGGGGAAGACAGACAGACACACACGUCAGCCUCUCCAGUACAAAGGUAAUUACUUCAAGUUUAUAGAACAGUCCACAGUGUCAUGAUGCUUCCCCCAUCCUUCCCAAACACAGCAGAUUCUUGCCCUGGACUCUUCAGCCAAAGGCUGUUUGCUUUCCUUCAAAGGAAAAGUCAGAUCCUGAAAUUUGAGCCUGGUGCUUUUAUUUAUUUUGUUUUAUUGGAAUAAUCCUAUUUCUAUAACAAUCAUGUAUUACUUUCAUAUUCAAG